ACAAUGUGGAUCUUGAGAGAAGAAAAGAGAAUUUCUAAAUUCUUCCUUGGUAUGGGCUUUCGGGAGAAUCACUGUGGUUCAGCUUACACAAAACCAAUCUCUGAGGUUUUGCUGCUCACAGCCUAGAUGUGUGGGUGAGGAGAACCUGAUGUCUCAGCCAAAUAAGAGAAGUGAGCAGCCGUCAAGAUUAAAUCAACCUAUUUGUGAUUUUAACUUUGCUGAUUGGACUCAAGUCACAGUUGCUUUUUCUGUGCUCAAGGUUAAACAGCAACUACAGUUCUUGAGACCAGAAGUCGGAAUGAAUCUUACAGGGUGAAAACCAGGGUGCCAUCAAUGUUGGUUCUCUCUGGAGGCUCUAAGGGGAAAGUCUUUUUCUCCUCUUUGCAGACAUACUGAUGAGUGUAACAAUUCAUGGAGCCAUAGAUACAGCAAAAUAAGGU
rnacentral:lncRNA from 1 species